UCCUUUUCCAUUUUCGAUUAUGUAAUCGGUGGGGUGGGGGGACGAUAAGGCCAGCCAUCGUUUCUCCGUUCAUUUUGUCAGUCAUCGACGACCUUGUGUGUCUAUCGCCGUCAUGGGAGUUUGCGUGGUCUACAGCCUUUUUCUUUGGUUCACAUCGUCGGUCCUCUCUUCUUCCUUCCCGUUUGUUGCAGCGAUCAAAAACUUCCUCCUCUUCUCAUUGCUUCUUGUCGCUACUGUAUAGGGUAAGUGAGAAAGAGCUUCAAAUGCUUCCUCCAUGUCUCCUUUACUCUUUGUUUAAAGGCCAAGAGAGAGUUAAGCAAAGAGUAGUCGGACUACUGUCAUAAUGCCUUGUUAUUUUUGUUUUGUGUAAAUGAAUAUGUAUAUUUAUUGUAAGUAGCAAAAUAUGAAUGCACAUACUUUUUGGAUUGCAUUUGUAUGAUUUGCAUCUAUGUGUUGUAUUUUAGCGUGGGAUGUAUGAUGUUGUGAUAAUUGUAGUAAGUGGUUGAAAUACUAGUGCAAGUGCAUGUUUAAUAUUGAUUUGAUAUAAGUAUUUAUGAGUUGCACUUGUAUAGUAUGUGAAUCUUCUAUGAUAUUUUAGCCUAGAGUGAAUGCUUGGUGGAACAUUGUGGUGAAAGGCUAAGAUACAGGUACAGGUACAUGUCAACAAAUGUCAACAUAUAAUACUCCCUUCCAUCCUUAUUAUAAAAAACUUUUAAUUAUUUCACGCAUUGUAAAAAAGUUAAUUUUUUUUAUAUCAUAAAAAAGUGAGAUAUACUUUUAUUUUUAACUUUAGCUUUAAAUGAUAAUAUAACUACAUUAAAUACCUUUAUGUUAAUCAAGAAGGAAUAAAAUUGAAAAAAGAUGAUGUAAUUAUUAAAAGGUGUCCUAUAUGUUGGAUUAAAAAUUACUCCUAAAAAGUAUCUUAUAAAUAGAACCGGAGGGGGUAUGUGAUAAGAUAUAAUGAUUUGGCCAAGUAAUGAAUUAUAUGAUGAAUUUCACAAAUUACCCAAUUUUAUGUGUAGUUGAGGGUCUUGUGUAGCCAAAUUUUGAAUGUGAUGUGCUAUUAUGUAUUUGAUUAUUCAAUCAAGUAUUUUCACUCCAUUAGUCUUGGUUUGAGCCCUACCUUAGGUUAAUAGCAUAAUAUUUUGGGUGUGGACUCUUGGAUGCAGGAAAAUGGUUUUAAAAUUGAUGUUCGAUAUUUAAGUGUUCAAUUUUCAAAUGUGAUAACAAAUUGAAAUGAAACUUAUCUCAUUAGUUAGAUUAUUGAAUGAACUUCAUGUGGGUACUUGAAUUACUUCAAUUGAAUGUUGGAUAUAAAAAUGAUGUUCACUCGAUGAGUUAUCAUGAUAGUUUUAUAUGUAUUGCGACGCAUGGUAUAAAGCUGGAGGUUGGCUUCCUAUGCCACAUGUUAAGCCAUAUAGGACACAAGCCACGACAAACAUGCGAAAAUGGGUGGAAAUGAUUUUUUUGCCCUUGUUUUCUAUGUGUUUCAUUUCUAUAUAAUUCCAUGAUUUUGAUACAUUUAAAAACUUAUUAAUUUGAGCUCAAAUUAGCAAUUUGAAGGGUUUUGGAAUCUUAAAUAUUUUGAAGCUUUAUAAACUUGUUUCUGAACCUUUAUUGUUUGAGGUAAGCUUGGGAGUUUAAUAGCUUCUAAUUAGCAUCGUGUGAUGAAAUUGUAGUUAUAUGUUGAUAAUUUCAAAAUAGACAUUACACUUCAAUCCUAAAUAAAUUGAUACUAUCCUUAAUAUCACAUUAAAAAAAAACAGUGUAUACAAAAAAAUAAUUGUCGGCAAAUUAUAAAAAAAAAUUUAAAAAUAAUGCACCAUCAUAUGAAAUCUGUAUAGCACUUAAAUAGUGAUGAGAUUUCAAAUUAACAACGGAGUGAGAUAUUAAGGGAAAAAAAUAUAUACAUAUUUUUACCAACAAGGAUAGUACAUACAUUGAGAAAAUAUUAUAUACAUAUGUAUUAUUUGGUACAAACACAUCUAACAUAAGGGAUCUAAGUGCGAACAUGUCUUAAUAAGAACAAUAGUACAAUAAUCACCUCUAUGCCUAUAUGACAAAAACUCCUAGUUAAUCUUCAUGAUUGAGCCCAUUUCUCUCUUCAAUUCUCUUCAAUAAUUGCUGGAGGCAAGAUGCAACAUUUUUGGUUUCUGUUAACAUAUCACCAAGCCCAACUUUUGAGCCAUAAGUAUAUCUACGUGCAAUCUUUGAACCGUGAGAUUUGUUUUGAUUCAAUCAUCUAAACUCUCCUUUUCUGUAUAUAAAAACAGAAAAAAGGACAAAAUGUGAUUCACUAGUAAUUGCUCAUGAAUUACAAGUAUCUUUCCACCACUGGCGGCUAAUAGGAGAGACUCAAGGACAUUUGAUUAGCUGAAAACAUGAUGUUUCCUGCUUUUCCCCCCGCCCUUGUUUUGCAGAACAAAAGGUAACAAAACAUCAAAAAGAUGUUCUGGUUGUCUAAUUCUUCAAAACAACUUCUAAUUUUUUUUUUUAUUUUUCAAAACAGAUAACAGGAAACACAUUUUCAAACUUAAGGAAGAAGGGAUAUAUUAUGAUCCAAAAGAGAAAUUUUUAAGUAAACUCAAGUUAUAACAAAUUUGACAAGUUAGAAUAUGUAAGGCUGCCCUAAAAGUAAGCAUAUAUUCAUCAGUAUUGAUGGAGUCUACUGAUUAUUUACAGAACAAGUUUGCCUAAGAAUUUCUCAUGAUUGAAGAACAAAAACUCUGCCAUCAAGUCACUUGCCACCAAAAGAAGGGAAGUAAUAUCUAGUAGGGUCAGAUCAGACAUUUCCUAGUAAAAGUUCUGUCUAACAGAGAAGUUAGCGUUGUCGUAAUACUAACCUUGAAACUAAGUCAAGUUCUGUUGAAGAAUGAGGAAAACAUUUGUGGGUUGUAGUAAUACAAGCGACACAAUGAUUUGUGCGUUAUCUCGAUGAAAAUUCCUUCUCAAUCACACCGAAGGUCAACUUCAAACGUUCUUGCAGACCUCUCAAGACGCUCUUUGAAAUCUUUUUAUGAUGCUUUGAACUUUUUAGCCAUUCAAUUCCAAAGUAAACAUGUACUCUGCAAGUCUUUUUUGCAGGUAAAUCUUCAACUUGGUAACGAAGAUGUAGCUGUGAAAAUUUAGAUAUCAGGAAGGUAGAUAUGCAUAGAAAAUGAUGAAAAGAAACAAAAGUUGGCCUACUCACAUUGAAGUAUUCACCAAGAGGAACGCCAUGAAGAUUCAUAACCUCUUCCAAAAGCCAACCUUUUCCAUCUGGAAGACUAGAUCGUUGUUGAGUACUUGUUACCUCACCUUUGAAACGUGUAUUACUUUUAUCAAAUUUGUAAUAUAGUGCCCUUUCAUAGUUGUCAUUAUUCUCUGACA